rnacentral:rRNA from 1 species
CCUACGGGAGGCAGCAGUGAGGAAUAUUGGUCAAUGGGCGCGAGCCUGAACCAGCCAAGUAGCGUGAAGGAUGACUGCCCUAUGGGUUGUAAACUUCUUUUAUAUGGGAAUAAAGUGCGGCACGUGUGCCUUUUUGCAUGUACCUUAUGAAUAAGGAUCGGCUAACUCCGUGCCAGCAGCCGCGGUAAUACGGAGGAUCCGAGCGUUAUCCGGAUUUAUUGGGUUUAAAGGGAGCGUAGUUGGGUUGUUAAGUCAGUUGUGAAAGUUUGCGGCUCAACCGUAAAAUUGCAGUUGAUACUGGCAGUCUUGAGUACAGUUGAGGUAGGCGGAAUUCGUGGUGUAGCGGUGAAAUGCUUAGAUAUCACGAAGAACUCCGAUUGCGAAGGCAGCUUACUAAACUGCAACUGACAUUGAUGCUCGAAAGUGUGGGUAUCAAACAGGAUUAGAUACCCCAGUAGUC